rnacentral:rRNA from 1 species
AGGUGUGACCGUACCAGCUCUAACGCACUGGAUCCCAUCAGAACUCCGAAGUUAAGCGUGCUUGGACAAGAGUAGUACUAGGAUGGGUGACCCCCAGGGAAGUCCUCGUGUUGCACCCC